rnacentral:lncRNA from 1 species
ACUGUAAAAUACCAGACACUUGCCUCCAUUUCUUCAUGAUUGGUAUGUGCAUGAGGACACCCCUAGAUCUGCAAGGGUAAGCAUCUUUCUCUCACCCUUUCCUGCUUCUCCAGGCUCUGGCAGAGAGUAGACUCCACAAAAACUAUCCACUGAGUGGUGGAUAGAUGAAAAGAACAAUUGAUUUAAUAGCUUGAAUCAUGGAUCUCACUUGUUUCAUUACAACAAUAGAUAAGAAUCAGAAAACAAAAAAUAAGGAAGCAAUUAUAAAGCUUUUACUUCUAUUCUGUCCUCAUGACUAUCUUGUUUUAUGGUAAAAAUCACCAGCUGUCCAGCAGGGUAGCACUGUUGCUGACAAGCAGCUGCCUGAAGUGGAAUCAUCUUCCCCAGGCUGCCCCACUCCUCACAUAAAUGGAGCCACAUGGGCUGGAUGCAGAGAUUUCAGCAGAAAAUUCAAGGUCUUAUGGCAGAGCCACAAGUUGGAAGGAGACAGGACCUCUCAACCACAGCCUGUGGAAGAAGUGCCCAGUGACCAGGACCGUCACAUGAACAUGAAGUAAACCAUUGUGAGCAGCCACUAAGAUUUGAGAGCUUAACCAUAACAAAGACUAGUCUUUUCUUAAAUAUAUAAUACUGACCUCUUCUACUAGAUUAUAAAUUUCUGGAGGACAGAGCUUAUGUUUUGUAUCUACACCAUGCCUUAUAUAAUAUUGAACAUAAAGUAAGUUCUCAACAAAUGUUUGCUUAUAUGAAAGGAUACUGAGAUCUAACAGGUAUAGAUAGAUGGAGCCUCCACAUUGUGAAAGGUAUCAAAAAGGAUUUCCAUAAGAAAACAAAAACCGUUUUAAAAACAUUAAACUCAUCUCCCUGUUGAAAACAUAUUACUCCAACAGGCUUAGAAGAAUUUCUACCAUGCUCAGGGUAGCUUAUAUUAAAAAAGGGUAUAUUUAUUUUUUAGUAUUAAAUUUAACAUUUAAUAAUGUGGAUUAUUACAUUCUUUUCAUUGCAUAUUUAUAAUUGUCUUUAUUAUCAUAAGAGGAAUUAUUGUUAAAGGAAAUUGUAUGUGUAGGAAAUACACUAAGAUAUAAAGAAUGAAAAUGGCCCCCACAAUGCCACCAUUUAGCAGGGCUGUCCAAUCUUUUGGAUUUCCUGGGCCACAUUGGAAAAAUUGUCUUGGCACACAUAAAAUACACUAACAAUAACCAAUAAGCUAAAAAAAAAGACAAAAAAAUCUAAUAAUGUUUUAAGAAGGUUUACAGAUUUGUGUUGGGCUGCAUUCAAAACCAUCCUGGGCCACAUGCUGCCCAGAGGCCGCAGGGUGGACAAGCUUGAUUUAGAGCUUACCACUGUUACCAUGAAUAUAUGUUUCUUUAAUACACAUGUUAUUAGACACCGUGCAUGAGCAUUGUUGUAUAUUAUUAAAUAUUUAUUUAUAUCAUGGAAUGGUCAUAGAGCAUUUCAUUGCAAGACGUAUGUAAUUUAUUUACUCAAUAGCUUUUGUUGGAAG